GACGUAGGUGGCGAACGUUAUCCGGAAUCAUUGGGCGUAAAGGGUGCGUAGAUGGCAUGAUAAGUUAUUGGUGGGAAAUCGAGGCCCAACCUCGUGGAAGCCAGUAAUACUGUUUUGCUUGAGUGCAGGAGAGGUUAACGGAACUCUAUGUGUAGGGGUAAAAUCCAAAAAUAUAUAGGGGAACAUCGAUAAAGGCGAAGGCAGUUAACUAUUCUGUUACUGACAUUGAGGCACGAAAGCGUGGGGAGCAAAACGG
rnacentral:rRNA from 1 species